rnacentral:rRNA from 1 species
AAUGAACGUUGGCGGCGUGCUUUACACAUGCAAGUCGAACGGCAGCACGGGUGCUUGCACCUGGUGGCGAGUGGCGAACGGGUGAGUAAUACAUCGGAACGUACCCAGUCGUGGGGGAUAACGUAGCGAAAGUUACGCUAAUACCGCAUACGUCCUGAGGGAGAAAGCGGGGGACCGUAAGGCCUCGCGCGACUGGAGCGGCCGAUGGCGGAUUAGCUAGUUGGUGGGGGAAAGGCCUACCAAGGCGACGACCCGUAGCGGGUCUGAGAGGACGGCCCGCCACACUGGAACUGAGUCACGGUCCAGACUCCUACGGGAGGCAGCAGUGGGGAAUUUUGGACAAUGGGCGAAAGCCUGAUCCAGCCAUUCCGCGUGAGUGAAGAAGGCCUUCGGGUUGUAAAGCUCUUUCGGCAGGGAAGAAACGGCUUGGGAUAAUACCCCGGGCUAAUGACGGUACCUGAAGAAGAAGCACCGGCUAACUACGUGCCAGCCGCCGCCGUAA